UUCUUAAGUUUGUUCAUGGAUUUUUGUGACAAUACUUUGAUGCAUAAGUGUUGAAUUCAGCUUCUCUAACAAUGUUUUUUUUUAAUCAAAAUAUAUACAAUAAUUGUCCUGCUCUGCAUGUACAUUUUGUUUAGCUGUACAUUGAAUAGCAAAUGUUAUUAAUUUACUAUGAGCAUUUUACAUUCUAGACGUGAUUUGACAUAUCUUUAAUUAAUCCUGUAUGUAAGGGUCGUUUCAUGCAAACGGAAAUGUCUGAGCUAAGGCUAAUUCCAACCUAAUCAUCUUCGACUGCAAAAAGAAAAAGUUUGACAUCCGUUUUAUGUGACACCCUGGAUAAUUAUUAUCAUUUAGGAGUAUUUGUUUGAUAUAGUGACUUUUGGCUAACAUGAUCUUUUUUUUACUUAAUUUUGCUUAAACGCUUUUAUUUGUUAUUCUUUUUCAGAUGGAUAAUUUCGUGAAAAUCAAACUAAAAGAAUGCAAUCUUGAGGAGUUAAUCCCCACAUUUGAAGCACAGGAGCGAACCUUUCCUCGUUUUUAGGUCAAUUUGAAUAGAAUUCAGAGGGGUGGCAUGGGGGCGCACUGGGUAGUGCUGUCGCCUCACAGCAAGAUGGUCGCUGGUUUGAGCCUCGGAUGGGUUUUCCGUCCACAGUCCAAUGACAUGCGGUGUAGCUGAAUUGGAUUGGGACCAAUAUUGCUGAGUAUCUUCAUCCAUUGAAUUCAAGAAUCUAUUGAGUUUCCUCAUGUUCUCGUCCUUGGAGACCACCACUUCUUUCAAGCCUUUGCUCAUGUGCUGUGCUAUUUAUUAUUGCAAAGUACAUUACUUGCUAAAGUGGACGUUUGCUAUAAAGCAUUCUACAUCUUUGGUGUGAACUACCCCAAGCAGUGUUCCCUGGUGUGGCAGACUGUGGUUUAUGGACAUCCUGGGGAGGAGACACUAGCAGUAAGGGUUCUGCUAGCAUUAAUUUUUGCUGACAAACAGUAAUCAUUAAUACUGUGACCUCACUGCUUCCUUGGAUUCUGUGUUCUUUAACUUGUACUUUGGAUUGUGGGGGAAAAGGAGCACCCGGAGAAAA